UUGGUGGGGUAACGGCCUACCAAGGCGACGAUCCGUAGCUGGUCUGAGAGGACGACCAGCCACACUGGGACUGAGACACGGCCCAGACUCCUACGGGAGGCAGCAGUAGGGAAUAUUGGACAAUGGGCGAAAGCCUGAUCCAGCAAUGCCGCGUGUGUGAAGAAGGCCUAUGGGUUGUAAAGCACUUUCAGUUGGGAAGAAAAGCUUUAGGUUAAUACCCUAGAGUCUUGACGUUACCAAUAGAAGAAGCACCGGCUAACUCUGUGCCAGCAGCCGCGGUAAGACAGAGGGUGCGAGCGUUAAUCGGAAUUACUGGGCGUAAAGCGUACGUAGGUGGUUGAGUAAGUCGGAUGUGAAAGCCCAAGGCUUAACCUUGGAACUGCAUUCGAUACUGCUCAACUAGAGUAUAGUAGAGGGAAGCGGAAUUUCUAGUGUAGCGGUGAAAUGCGUAGAUAUUAGAAAGAACACCAGUGGCGAAGGCGGCUUCCUGGACUAAUACUGACACUGAGGUACGAAAGCGUGGGGAGCAAACAGGAUUAGAUACUACACUAAGUGUCCCCCAGACUGGUGACAGUCUGGUGUGCAUCCAGCUAUAUCGGUGAAACCCCAUUGGGGUAAUACCGAGGGAAGCUAUAUUAUAUAUAUAUUAAUAAAUAGCCCCGUAGAGACUAUGUAGGUAAGGAGAUAGAAGAUGAUAAAAUCAAAAUCAUCUUUGUCGAGUCGAUGUAAAGAGAUAAUCCUUGGUUCUGUUCUGGGAGAUGGGUCAAUAAAGAUACAUAAAGGCUAUAAGAAUGCUCGCUUUUCGUUUCGACAUUCGGUAAAAUCGAGUGAAUAUUUUUACUGGAAAGUAAAAGAAAUAGAAGAGUUAUCAAGCGAUAACUGUGUGUGGAAACAAUUGAAGAGUGGCUCUUAUGCUGAAGAAAUGCUUCGAUAUCAAAGUCGAGCACUUGAAGAAUUGACCCAAAUUUAUGAAUUGGUUCAUCGUCAUCAUAAAUUAAAAAUACGAAGAAAAUGGUUGAAUAGACUUAGUCCACUUUCUUUAUGUGUAUGGUGGUUAGAUGAUGGUUCAUUGGUUGCAAAUUGCCGUCAAGGGGUGAUAUGUACAGACUGCUUUUCUUAUGACGAGUUAUUACUCGUAGUCAAAUAUUUUAGGAAAGUAUGGAAUUUAUACCCUACCAUUGGCAAAGUAGCAAAAAGUGGACCCCGUUCUGAACAAUACCGAUUGUGGUAUCGUUCCAGAGAAGAGUUAAAAAAGUUUUUAAGGAUUAUUUUGCCUUAUGUGCCAGUAACAUCUAUGUUAUAUAAGGUACUUAUUCUUUACAAAGACCCAGAACUGCAACAACGCUGGAUCUCUGAAGUAUGUGAAUUAUCAAAAUUUGGGCAAGAAGAAAUUAUGACUUGUCUAAAUGAGCGUAAGAAAAAAAUUGCAUACUAUAAUUAAAGUUAUAGAAUUAUCAGAGAAUGAUAUAGUCCAAGCCUUAUGGUAACAUGAGGGCACUUGACCCUGGUAGUCCACGCCCUAAACGAUGAGAACUAGAUGUUGGGGGAAAUUGAUCCCUUAGUAUCGCAGCUAACGCGAUAAGUUCUCCGCCUGGGGAGUACGGCCGCAAGGUUAAAACUCAAAUGAAUUGACGGGGGCCCGCACAAGCGGUGGAGCAUGUGGUUCAAUUCGAUGCAACGCGAAGAACCUUACCUGGCCUUGACAUCCUCGGAACCUCGCAGAAAUGUGGGGGUGCCUUUUGGAACCGAGAGACAGGUGCUGCAUGGCUGUCGUCAGCUCGUGUCGUAAAUAACUUGCGACCUAUAGAAGCGAUUCUAUAGACAAAUCCAGCUUAUAACGGUGAAACCCUAACAGAUUAAUGCUGAGGGCAAUACCGUGGGAAGUUCAUGAAAAUUCAUGUAACCCCGUAACGACUGAGGCGUAAUGCCGAGAUAACAAUCGAUCCAUUUUAGUAAAUUUAUGAUUGUUAUAACACGCUGGCUCUUACUGACCAUCAGUAAGAUGAAGAUAUAGUCUAAACCCUUAAGAAAUUUUGGGAGUUAUUUGGAGAUGUUGGGUUAAGUCCCGCAACGAGCGCAACCCUUGUCUCUAGUUGCCAGCGAUUAGGUCGGGAACUCUAGAGAGACUGCCGGUGACAAACCGGAGGAAGGUGGGGAUGACGUCAAGUCAUCAUGGCCCUUACGGCCAGGGCUACACACGUGCUACAAUGGGUAGUACAGAGGGUUGCAAACCCGCGAGGGGGAGCCAAUCUCACAAAACUACUCGUAGUCCGGAUUGGAGUCUGCAACUCGACUCCAUGAAGUCGGAAUCGCUAGUAAUCGCGGAUCAGCAUGUCGCGGUGAAUACGUUCCCGGGCCUUGUACACACCGCCCGUCACACCAUGGGAGUGGGCUGUACCAGAAGUAGGUAGUCUAACCACCUUUCGGGGUGGAGGGCGCUUACCACGGUAUGGUCCGUAACUGGGGUGAAGUUUCACGGCUUCCUUCACGAGUAAUCGUGUUGUAAAAUCCAACUGUAUCGGUGAACCCCUAACCAUUUUAAUUUUAUUGUUACAAUUCCCCAUGAGGGGUAUAAAAAGAAAUGGUGGGCAACGCCGAGGGAAGUUAGGCUAGUCAGUCAAACUGAUAAAAAGCUUACUAAAUCAUAUUAUGACAUGUAAGUUGCCUUAACCCCGUAGAGGCCAUACGUUGGCUCCUUUGAAAAAAGGAUGAAGACAUGGUCCGACACCCUUAGUAAUAAGGGCUAAAACAGUAAGCGUAACAAGGUAGCCGUAGGGGAACCUGCGGCUGGAUCACCUCCUUUAAAGA
rnacentral:rRNA from 1 species